rnacentral:rRNA from 1 species
AACGAACGCUGGCGGCAUGCCUAACACAUGCAAGUCGAACGAGACCUUCGGGUCUAGUGGCGCACGGGUGCGUAACGCGUGGGAACCUGCCCUUAGGUUCGGAAUAACUCCCCGAAAGGGGUGCUAAUACCGGAUAAUGUCUUCGGACCAAAGAUUUAUCGCCUUUGGAUGGGCCCGCGUUGGAUUAGCUAGCUGGUAGGGUAAAAGCCUACCAAGGCGACGAUCCAUAGCUGGUCUGAGAGGAUGAUCAGCCACACUGGGACUGAGACACGGCCCAGACUCCUACGGGAGGCAGCAGUGGGGAAUAUUGGACAAUGGGCGAAAGCCUGAUCCAGCAAUGCCGCGUGAGUGAUGAAGGCCUUAGGGUUGUAAAGCUCUUUUACCCGGGAUGAUAAUGACAGUACCGGGAGAAUAAGCCCCGGCUAACUCCGUG